GGAUUAUUUUUUUCGAAGUGAGAAUGAGGAUGCCGGAGGAAUGCUCAUUCUAACCUAAAGUUGGAAUCGCCUCCAUCUCCCUCCCCGACUCUCCCGUACUCCUCUCAUCUCCUCUCAUCCCCAACUCUGGUCGAUACUCUUCUCUCUCUCUCUCUCUCUCUCUCUCUCUCUCUCUCUCUCUCUCUCUCCCUCCCGACAUUCUUCCAUCCCUUUCUCCUCUCUUUUCAGCCUCUCUUUGCGCGGAUGAGCUUCUGGGAAAUCUGGUCGGAAUUGGUGCAUUUCGGGCGCAGUGAUUAGGGCUUCUCUUUCUCGGGGUUUGUCUCACAUUGGUUGUGGAAGGUGCUUGGUGGUCAGUUAUUAAGUGUGUUUGUUUUUGGGUUGAGAAGGCCCAAUAUCACUCAACACUGAUAUCAAGCCCGCGGUUUCUCCCUGAAUGCCAGGCAUGUGGUGCUACCAAUUUGGUGAGCCCAAUUCAUCAGGAGUUUAGAGCCCGAUGUGUGAGGCACUCUUUGCUGUUUCGAGCUUUACUGGUGUUGCAGAAACCGAUCAAUUUGAGCGAUUAGCAACUGAUUUUCUUCAAUUCAGUGGCAUUUUGGUCCUGCAAGUCGUGUGCGUUGAUUUUCAGGGUUUUGGGACUCGAGUAGUGUUGGGGCUUUGUUAAGAGAAUGUUCUCUUGGUGGUGGUUUCUUCAGUUCAGUGGCAUUUGGGUGCUGCAAGUCGUGUGUGCUGAUUUUCAGGUGAAGUUUCCUUUCCAUUUUCUUAUCAAUUCUGACUUGUUCAGAAUUUCCUGAAUUUUGGAAGGUGUGUCUGGGCCCUGGGGUCAUUUGCUGGUUCUUAUUUGUUAUAGGCUCCUUGCUGUAGAUUGAGACUAUGGCUGGGCAAAAUUUCUUGUUUUUUGAGUGGUUGAAAAAUAAAAGUGUACAAUUGAACAACCAGUGAAACCUGGAAUUAUUUCCAUAGCAAUGCAGGUUUAGUCUAAUAAAUAUUUCAGCUGAUCAAACGGUUUUG